UACGUAGGGUGCAAGCGUUAAUCGGAAUUACUGGGCGUAAAGCGUGCGCAGGCGGUCUUGCAAGACAGAUGUGAAAUCCCCGGGCUCAACCUGGGAACUGCAUUUGUGACUGCAAGGCUGGAGUGCGGCAGAGGGGGAUGGAAUUCCGCGUGUAGCAGUGAAAUGCGUAGAUAUGCGGAGGAACACCGAUGGCGAAGGCAAUCCCCUGGGGCUGCACUGACGCUCAUGCACGAAAGCGUGGGGAGCAAACAGG
rnacentral:rRNA from 1 species